rnacentral:rRNA from 1 species
CGGAGGGUGCAAGCGUUAUCCGGAUUCACUGGGUUUAAAGGGUGCGUAGGUGGGUCUGUAAGUCAGUGGUGAAAUCCCCGAGCUUAACUUGGGAACUGCCAUUGAUACUAUAGCUCUUGAAUACUGUGGAGGUCAGCGGAAUAUGUCAUGUAGCGGUGAAAUGCUUAGAUAUGACAUAGAACACCAAUUGCGAAGGCAGCUGGCUACACAAAUAUUGACACUGAGGCACGAAAGCGUGGGGAUCAAACAGGAUUAGAUACCCUGGUAGUCCACGCCCUAAACUAUGGAUACUCGACAUUUGCGAUACACAGCAAGUGUCUGAGCGAAAGCAUUAAGUAUCCCACCUGGGAAGUACGAUCGCAAGAUUG